AGUCUAGCCUGCCCACUGAAUUAAUUUAAAUGGCCGCAGUAUACUAACUGUGCAAAGGUAGCAUAAUCAUUAGUCUUUUAAUUGAAGGCUGGUAUGAAUGGUUGGACGAGAUAUUAACUGUUUCAUAAAAAUUUAUAAUAGAAUUUUAUUUUUUAGUCAAAAAGCUAAAAUAAAAUUAAAAGACGAGAAGACCCUAUAAAUCUUUAUAUAUAAAUUAUUAGAAUUUUAUAGAUUUUUUUUAUUAUAAUAAUUGAUUAUAUUUUAUUGGGGUGAUAUUAAAAUUUAAAAAACUUUUAAUUAUUAAAAUCAUUAAUUUAUGAAUAAUUGAUCCGUUAAUAACGAUUAAAAAAAUAAGUUACUUUAGGGAUAACAGCGUAAUUUUUUUGGAGAGUUCAUAUCGAUAAAAAAGAUUGCGACCUCGAUGUUGGAUUAAGAUAUAAUUUUAGGUGUAGCCGCUUAAAUUUUAAGUCUGUUCGACUUUUAAAUUCUUACAU
rnacentral:rRNA from 1 species